rnacentral:tRNA from 1 species
GGUUCUGGCUCAGUGGUAGAGCACUUGCCUGGCAUGUGCAGGACCCUGGGUUUGAUCCUCAACACCA